rnacentral:lncRNA from 1 species
CUGGGGUGUUUGCAGUUGGUUUUUGAUUAUGAAUAAUGCUGUGAUAAACAUCUCUGAGUUUUCCUUUUGCAAGUUGCCCAUCCAGUGGAGGGAAUGAGCUCCCUGCUGCUGGGGCAUACAAGGAGAAGCCAGACAAGCACUGGGAAGGUUCAAGCAAGGACCUGAGCCUCAGAGAAGGAUCAGCUAUAGCAGUGGCUCUCAAUUCUGCUGGGAUGGACAUUACAGAAGCCGUUCAGUCACGUAACACAUUCUUAGAGCUAUACCUCACAAUUCCAGGGUAUUUACUGGCUGAAACUCAGGCCCUUUCUCUCCCAUUGAUGUAUGGGCUGGAGGUGAGUGCAAGCGAUGCUGCAGCAAGGAUGACUCCGACAUGGCCAGGUUGAUUUGGAAAUGAAGAACAUCACAUGUGCAAGCGAUGCUGCAGCAAGGAUGACUCCGACGUGGCCAGAUUGAUUUGGAAAUGAAGAACAUCACAUGUGCAAGCGAUGCUGCAGCAAGGAUGACUCCGACGUGGCCAGGUUGAUUUGGAAAUGAAGAACAUCACAUGUGCAAGCGAUGCUGCAGCAAGGAUGACUCCGACGUGGCCAGGUUGAUUUGGAAAUGAAGAACAUCACAUGUGCAAGCGAUGCUGCAGCAAGGAUGACUCCGACGUGGCCAGGUUGAUUUGGAAAUGAAGAACAUCACAUGUGCAAGCGAUGCUGCAGCAAGGAUGACUCCGACGUGGCCAGGUUGAUUUGGAAAUGAAGAACAUCACAUGUGCAAGCGAUGCUGCAGCAAGGAUGACUCCGACGUGGCCAGAUUGAUUUGGAAAUGAAGAACAUCACAUGUAGUUUGGGGCACAUCCUCGUCAGGGUCACAUGUGCACAGCCCACAGGUGGUCCUGGCCCUCCCUGGGUGGGUCUUCACUCUGGCCAAGAUGAUCUCCAAGGUCUCCCCAGGCUGGAAGCUCCGAUGCCUGCCCAGGGGCUGCUGCCCUCCGCCCAGAGCCUGACACACUAGAAGGGCCUCUGCUCCCAGGGGAGGGAACGAAUGCCCCCUGUUGACUUUAUCACAUCACCCCUCACCACUCCACGGGGGCUCUCUGUGGUGCCCCAACCCAGGCCACCCCUGCUUUCAUCUCCCUCGCUGUGCCAAGGCUGAAAGGCUGUGCAUCCACUCAGCUUGCUCUCUGCCUUCUGGCUGGACCCAGGUCUGUCUGAUUCUUUUUGUUUGUUUGUCUUGCUCUGUCGCCCAAGCUGGAGUACAGUGGCGUGAUCAUAGCUCAUGGCAGCCUCGACCUCCUGGACUCAAGCAAUCCUCCCACCUCAGCCUGUCAAGUAGCUGGGACUAUAGGCAGGCACCACCAUGCCUAGCUAAUUUUUUGAUUUUGUAGAGACGAGGUCUCACUAUGUUUCCCAGGCUGUUUUCAAACUCCUGGCCUCAAGCAAUCCUUCCACCUCGGCCUCCUAAAGUGUUAGGAUUACAGGCAUGAGCCACUGUGCCUGGCCAGGACUGUCUCAUUCUAAAGCCCUAAUCACCAAACUUCCUGCCGGGCACCAUCUGAGCUCCCCACCAGCUGGAAUCCACCUGGAUGCCCACACUCUAGUCCCUACCCUCCAAGCGUUGUCCUUUGGUGUCUCCUGGCUACACGCAUGCAGGCUUAUGUGACCUCUCCUACCCAUCAGACAGUAUAACAACACAUCAAAGACGCUGGAGUUGGCCAUGUACCGGCACCGCCUGGUGGUCAGUGGCAUGAAUGCUGCGGGCACGCUGUCUGGGUGGAAAUUCUGUCUUGACCACUGAGCCCCUGGACAAGUUACUUAACCUCAUCC